rnacentral:misc_RNA from 1 species
GAUGAAGAACGUAGUGAAAUGCGAUAAGUAAUGUGAAUUGCAGAAUUCAGUGAAUCAUCGAAUCUUUGAACGCACCUUGCGCCCUUUGGCAUUCCGAAGGGCAUGCCUGUUUGAGUAUCAUGAACACCUCAACUCUUCAUGGUUUUCCAUGAUGAGCUUGGACUUUGGGGGUCUUGCUGGCCUGCGGUCGGCUCCUCUCAAAUGAAUCAGCUUACCAGUGUUUGGUGGGCAUCACAGGUGUGAUAACUAUCUGCGCUUGUGGUUUUCCACCAAGUAACCUUCAGCAGUGGAGGUUCACUGGAGCUCACAGACGUCUCUCCUCAGUGAGGACAGCCCUUUGAAUGUUUGAUCUCAAAUCAGGUAGGACUACCCGCUGAACUUAAGCAUAUCAAUAAGCGAGGA